GACGAACGCUGGCGGCGCGCUUAACACAUGCAAGUCGUGCGGUGUCGAAGGCAAGUCUUACGACAAGCCUUCGACACAGCGGCGAACGGGUGAGUAACACGUGAGUAGCUGUCCUAAGGAGGGGGAUAACGCCUGGAAACGGGUGCUAACACCCCAUAUGCCUCGCAAGAGGUGAAAGUGUACUUGCUACAGCCUUAGGGUGUGCUCGCGGCCUAUCAGCUAGUUGGUGAGGUAACGGCUCACCAAGGCCAAGACGGGUAGCCGGCCUGAGAGGGUGUACGGCCACACUGGAAUUGAGAUACGGUCCAGACUCCUACGGGAGGCAGCAGUGGGGAAUCUUGGGCAAUGGGCGAAAGCCUGACCCAGCGACGCCGCGUUGGGGAUGAAGCCCUUCGGGGCGUAAACCCAUGUUGUAGGGGACGAAGAAAGUGACGGUACCCUACGAGAAAGCCCGGCCAACUACGUG
rnacentral:rRNA from 1 species